rnacentral:rRNA from 1 species
CCUACGGGGGGCAGCAGUGAGGAAUAUUGGUCAAUGGACGAGAGUCUGAACCAGCCAAGUAGCGUGAAGGAUGACUGCCCUAUGGGUUGUAAACUUCUUUUAUAUGGGAAUAAAACGUUCCACGUGUGGGAUUUUGUAGGUACCAUAUGAAUAAGGAUCGGCUAACUCCGUGCCAGCAGCCGCGGUAAUACGGAGGAUCCGAGCGUUAUCCGGAUUUAUUGGGUUUAAAGGGAGCGUAGGUGGAUUGUUAAGUCAGUUGUGAAAGUUUGCGGCUCAACCGUAAAAUUGCAGUUGAAACUGGCAGUCUUGAGUACAGUAGAGGUGGGCGGAUUUCGUGGUGUAGCGGUGAAAUGCUUAGAUAUCACGAAGAACUCCGAUUGCGAAGGCAGUUCACUGGACUGCAACUGACACUGAGGCUCGAAAGUGUGGGUAUCAAACAGGAUUAGAUACCCCAGUAGUC